AAAGAAUGAAGGAAAGUUGAAAAGAGUAUCUUUCCUCCUGUGUCUGUUGAUCUCAUCCACUGCUGUUGACCUGAAGACAUCUGGCAGAACGCCUAAAACGGUGGCUGUGUUUUGUCGGCAGCUUCGAGAACCACUUCACUCUCCAAAUCUGGAAUCCCAUCUGUAACUUCUGGCCAAGUGAUCGCCAGGCCUGUCUCCAUCAUUUGCUCUGAAGGAAGCUCAGUCUUCUGACACAAUCCACGCCAAGUUCUCUCUCUUUCGAGUGAGAAAGUCCUGGAACCAGGAGUUUGAGUGGGGUGAGAAGGAAGCGAGUCCUUCGCAGCCUCUGAGAAGACAAGAUAUUUCAGGCAUAUGGAACAGCAUUUAAAAAGGCAGAAGGAGACAGCACGGCCUAUUUUAGGGGAACUCCCCCAGUACAUAGUUGUAUAUUCUUAGUUGUGGGUCCUUCUACUUGUGGCAUGUGGGACGCCGCCUCAUCGUGGUUUUGAUGAGCAGUGCCAUGUCCGCGCCCAGGAUUCGAACCAACGAAACACUGGGCCACCUGCAGCGGAGCGCGUGAAAUUAACCACUCGGUUAAUUUCGGAAGAAAUUCGGUUAAUUUGGAAGAAAUCCAGUUUCUUCCCCAGAAUCUCGGCCUCCUCCAAAAUAGACACAGAUGUCGGACACUGUCAUCCUGGAACUCAGAGCUCAGCGGGGAAGAUGGAGUAUGAAUAAAGUGUUACAACGCAACCCAGCAUCUGGGAGAGGAGGAUGAGUUAACCAGACAAAGAGUGACUGCAGAAGCAAUCCAGGGAGAAAACCAGCCCGUGUGAAGGUCUUGAGGUGUCCAGCUUCUGCAGGAGGAAGUACAGAAGCUCCGAGAUUAGACCACACAGGGUCAAAACCUGCUCCUGCCGCUGACUGGCUGUCUGUCCUUCAUCAGGUCAUUUAACCUCU
rnacentral:lncRNA from 1 species